GUGGCCCCUGCACAAGGAUGACAUGCAAAUUCAUGAAGCCUUCCAUAUUUAU
rnacentral:snRNA from 1 species